GAUGAACGCUGGCGGCGUGCUUAACACAUGCAAGUCGAACGGUGAAGGCGGAGCUUGCUCUGCUGGAUCAGUGGCGAACGGGUGAGUAACACGUGAGCAAUCUGCCCCUGACUCUGGGAUAAGCGCUGGAAACGGCGUCUAAUACUGGAUACGAGCUGCGAAGGCAUCUUCAGCAGCUGGAAAGAAUUUUGGUCAGGGAUGAGCUCGCGGCCUAUCAGCUUGUUGGUGAGGUAAUGGCUCACCAAGGCGUCGACGGGUAGCCGGCCUGAGAGGGUGACCGGCCACACUGGGACUGAGACACGGCCCAGACUCCUACGGGAGGCAGCAGUGGGGAAUAUUGCACAAUGGGCGAAAGCCUGAUGCAGCAACGCCGCGUGAGGGACGACGGCCUUCGGGUUGUAAACCUCUUUUAGCAGGGAAGAAGCGAAAGUGACGGUACCUGCAGAAAAAGCGCCGGCUAACUACGUG
rnacentral:rRNA from 1 species